UACGUAGGGUGCAAGCGUUGUCCGGAAUUAUUGGGCGUAAAGAGCUCGUAGGCGGUCUGUCACGUCGGCUGUGAAAUCCCGAGGCUCAACCUCGGGUCUGCAGUCGAUACGGGCAAACUAGAGUAUUGCAGGGGAGACUGGAAUUCCUGGUGUAGCGGUGAAAUGCGCAGAUAUCAGGAGGAACACCGGUGGCGAAGGCGGGUCUCUGGGCGAUAACUGACGCUGAGGAGCGAAAGCGUGGGGAGCGAACAGG
rnacentral:rRNA from 1 species